rfam:Salmo salar isolate Sally breed double haploid chromosome ssa19, whole genome shotgun sequence.
UUAAUGACUAAGUGUAAGUCGCUCUGGAUAAGAGCAUCUGCUAAAUAACUCAAA